rnacentral:lncRNA from 1 species
UGCAACCUGCAUUUUUUAAUUUUCAGCCUUUAGCUAGCUCUAGCUUUAAAUUAUAAAUAUCGUUAAAUGUGGAUUAUUGCCCAGGAAAAAAAUGAAUAACAACCACUACAUCCUAGAAACAGAGUCAAUAUGACCAUGAAAAGUAAAUGCUUUGAAUUGAUUCAGGAUAUCAAGACAGGCACAACAGCACA